GGCGGAUGUUUGGAUUGUUGUGUGUGCGUGAUGGCGUGGAGAAUGGCGAACACAUACAGAAUGAUGAGGAUAUUAAUCUCCAUUGUGGUGACAACUGAAAGACAGAUGUCCAACUGAACAGUCUGUCUCUGUAGUGGCAGACUGAUGAUCCAGCUUCGUGCCACCAAACAUGGCCACGGCAGACUGGCACAACAUCUGCAGCAACAAAAUGGGUGCUCAUUAGGCCUGCUCCAAAGUGCCACUAUGAGUUUGUGGUCUGCAUUUUUUGUAUCUUCUGUGUUUUAUUUUCUAUGUCCUGCUACUGUCCUGGUCAGCAAACUCCAUUAUAAGAGAUUCUGAAUUUCAGUGGUUCAAUAAAGUUAUACACACUAGUUCUAAAAUAUCCACAAGGUGCGUCUGAAUUCUGAUAUCUUCUCCCUCUGUAGACAUCGAAGAACCCUCCAGAGGACACGGAGACUGUGAUCCAGCGCAGCUCACGGCGCUGGUUCCACCUGAUGGGUGAGGCCAUGAGGCCUGAUGGGACCGCCACCAUCGUCCAGCCCUCCCUGCUGGAUGAGGACGAGGAGUGCAAGACGUCCCUACCUCCUCUUAUUCUUCCCCACACGGCAAGAGAAUCUCACUGGACUUUGUAGGGUGUUGGGACGCUCAAGGAGGUCCUGGAGCUGACUGGAUCUGAAUUACCUGUGGAGGUCUGUGCAGCCAGAAGAGACGUGACGGAGCCAGACUGCCACACUACAUGACACUUCGUGCCUGACACUGCCUGACUUCACCGCAUAGACCGCCGGUCCAGUUGUACAUGUGCUAGUAGAGACGUGUGGAAACUUCCACUUAAGACCCCUUCACACCGUGAGACUGUGGGCUGUCUAAGACGAAAGUUGCCGAUCGUGAGAGAAAUGUGGCAAAACCUUUACAAUCUAAAAUAGCUGUGUGAUGCAAUUUUCCUUCAGACUUAGCUUGUCGUCUGUUCACUCAGGGCCCAUCUGAGUUUCCACUCAGUUGCUCGUUGUCAGUAUGCCCUCCCUCGGUCAGAAACGCAGAGGAGACAGGAAAUAGACGGUCACCACUGAGCGAAAUCAGGUGUCCUUGCACAGACAGGAUACGCUGCGAGGACCUUGAGAUGUGACACUAAUGUUUAGGCUCAGUAUCCAUCCAUUCAUCUUAGAACACAGAGCAUCUGAUGAUGUUGCACCUGUUAGAUAGAUAGAUAAAAAACUUUAUUGUCCCCGAGAGGAAAUUUGUCUUGGGCAUAGUGCUACAGCUUUGCUCGUUCACACACUGUUCAUUCAUCCACAAUUUAAAAUCUGUUGGUUAAACAUGCAUUGUUCAAAAUUAACUGUAAAGUUCCUCAUCUUUGCCAUAGAAUCUUAAUAAAACAAUUUAAAGUUUUUCUUUGA